CCUACGGGAGGCUGCAGUGGGGAAUAUUGGACAAUGGGGGGAACCCUGAUCCAGCCAUGCCGCGUGUGUGAAGAAGGCCCUCGGGUUGUAAAGCACUUUCAGGGAGGAAGAACGCCUGGUGGUUAAUACCCAUCAGGAAAGACAUCACUCACAGAAGAAGCACCGGCUAACUCCGUGCCAGCAGCCGCGGUAAUACGGAGGGUGCGAGCGUUAAUCGGAAUUACUGGGCGUAAAGCGCGCGUAGGUGGCUUGAUAAGCCGGUUGUGAAAGCCCCGGGCUCAACCUGGGAACGGCAUCCGGAACUGUCAAGCUAGAGUGCAGGAGAGGAAGGUAGAAUUCCCGGUGUAGCGGUGAAAUGCGUAGAGAUCGGGAGGAAUACCAGUGGCGAAGGCGGCCUUCUGGACUGACACUGACACUGAGGUGCGAAAGCGUGGGUAGCAAACAGGAUUAGAUACCCUUGUAGUC
rnacentral:rRNA from 1 species